UACGUAGGUGGCAAGCGUUAUCCGGAAUUAUUGGGCGUAAAGAGCGCGCAGGUGGUUGAUUAAGUCUGAUGUGAAAGCCCACGGCUUAACCGUGGAGGGUCAUUGGAAACUGGUCGACUUGAGUGCAGAAGAGGGAAGUGGAAUUCCAUGUGUAGCGGUGAAAUGCGUAGAGAUAUGGAGGAACACCAGUGGCGAAGGCGGCUUCCUGGUCUGUAACUGACACUGAGGCGCGAAAGCGUGGGGGCGAAACAGGAUUAGAUACCCG
rnacentral:rRNA from 1 species